CCAAAGUGGUAUUUCUCUUAGGUUUUUGUCAGAAGUAAUUGGAUAAUACAUUGCAAUCAGGCUCUUGUACUCCAUUGACAAUAGAAAAUUCAUCACAGAGAUUUUCUUACUUCAUUCAGGCCUCAUUAUGCAGUUGCUUCUAAAAUAUCAGAAUACCCUUCUCAGAUCUUUUAGUGGGUGAGGUCCUUCCCAUGGUGGAAGGGUGGGUACACCCCCUUUCCAUAAGCCUGGACAUCCCUUAAAUAGUAAAACAAUAGUAAAAAAAACAUUUGUACAUUAGAUCUAUAAUUGUUGGUAUGACUAUUUUGUAUCUCAUUUGAGGGGUGAUAUGGAAAGGGAUAUAUCUCAUGUGCUUCAAGAUACACUUUAUCUUCUUUCCUGUGAAAAUUUGGGUUGGUGAUGUUCACAUGUUUCUCUGUAAUAUUUACCAUGUAUCUCAGCAGCUGAUUCUUUGAUAAAAUGUAUACUAUCUGGUUAAAAGACUUUAGAAUCCAGAACUUUUCAAAACAAAUAGCACUUGAUUGACCAAGAAAAUGGGAAACUUGCAUUUAAUAAACAGCCAUCCAAAAAUCAGAGGAUGGCAGAAAAAGGAUUUGUUCCAGUAAAACUACUAAGACAUCCAAGGGCCCUUCUACACUAAACUAAAAUCCGAGAGCAAACAGGUUAAAACAACACACUUCAUCCCGAAAACCUGGAAUACUGUGUCCAAUUUUGGGCACCACAGUUGAAGGGAGAUGUUGACAAGCUGGAAAGCAUCCAGAGGAGGGCGACUAAAAUGAUUAAGGGUCUGGAGAACAAGCCCUAUGAGGAGCAGCUUAAAGUGCUGGGCAUGUUUAGCCUGCAGAAGAGAAGGUUGAGAGGAGACAUGAUAGCCAUGAACAAAUAUGUGAGGGGAAGUCAUAGGGAGGAGGGAGCAAGCUUGCUUUCUGCUGCCCUGCAGACUAGGACACGGAACAAUGGCUUCAAACUAGAGGAAAGGAGAUCCCACCUGAACAUCAGGAAGAACUUCCUCACUGUGAGAGCUGUUCAGCAGUGGAAUCUCCUUUCCUGUAGUUUGAAGCCAUUGUUCCGUGUCCUAGUCUGCAGGGCAGCAGAAAACAAGCUUGCUCCCUCCUCCCUAUGA
rnacentral:lncRNA from 1 species